rnacentral:rRNA from 1 species
UGGGGAAUAUUGGGCAAUGGGCGAAAGCCUGACCCAGCAACGCCGCGUGAGUGAUGAAGGCCUUCGGGUUGUAAAACUCUUUGGACAGGGACGAAGAAAGUGACGGUACCUGUAGAACAAGCCACGGCUAACUACGUGCCAGCAGCCGCGGUAAUACGUAGGUGGCGAGCGUUAUCCGGAUUUACUGGGCGUAAAGGGUGCGUAGGUGGUCCUUCAAGUCGGUGGUUAAAGGCUACGGCUCAACCGUAGUAAGCCGCCGAAACUGGAGGACUUGAGUGCAGGAGAGGAAAGUGGAAUUCCCAGUGUAGCGGUGAAAUGCGUAGAUAUUGGGAGGAACACCAGUAGCGAAGUCGUCUUUCUGGACUGCAACUGACACUGAGGCACGAAAGCGUGGGUAGCAAACAGG